UACGGGGGGGGUAAGCGUUGUUCGGAAUUACUGGGCGUAAAGGGCUCGUAGGCGGCCAACUAAGUCGGACGUGAAAUCCCUCGGCUUAACCGGGGAACUGCGUCUGAUACUGGAUGGCUUGAGUUCGGGAGAGGGAUGCGGAAUUCCAGGUGUAGCGGUGAAAUGCGUAGAUAUCUGGAGGAACACCGGUGGCGAAGGCGGCAUCCUGGACCGACACUGACGCUGAGGAGCGAAAGCCAGGGGAGCAAACGGG
rnacentral:rRNA from 1 species